UCACUUGAUGGGCAGGAAUGACUAAUUG
rnacentral:piRNA from 1 species